rnacentral:lncRNA from 1 species
GGCUUUUCAAAGACUGAUGGCGGUUGGUCGAAGGGUGUUGAGGAGAGAGUAGAGGAAAGAGUAGAGGAGGAGGGACUGUCUUCACCUCCUCGUGAUCACAAGGCAUCUUCUGAUAUUCAGUUCAUGUCUGAUCAUGAGGUUGGUCCCUCAGAGUCAGUGAGGAGGCAUGCUUCUAUACCACAGUCAGGGAGUAGAGUAGAUCC